UGGCGCUCGGCAAAGCGGGAGAGUUGCAGCAGACUGUAAAUCUGUUCCUUCGGGUGAGUGGGUUCGAAUCCCUCAGCGCCAA
rnacentral:tRNA from 1 species